GUGUUAUUGUUAAUCAAAAAUAUAAAAGUAUAAACAAAAAAGAAAACUACCUCUAUCUAAUUUUGUCGAUGUCCAUUUCUUAAGAAGUUUCUCAUUAAAACAACCCUUAAUUCAGGCAAGGCAGGGCUAAGGUGGUUAGCGUAACUACAAGUAGUUAACUUACAGUUAGCCAACUGAAGAACAAUCAACAAUGACCGAUUAAUAAGUAAUCGCGCUGCUUGUCUACUACAUGUCCCUGCACUAGUUAUAGCAGUAAUUUCUUUGUUCGGAAGUAUUUAGCACAUCCGGGCUGCGCAAAAGGAGAGGGUGGGCAUUUCCUCUGUCUCUUAGAAAAGUCCGCUUGUUAUUUUUAUCCCAGUGUUAAUCUCUAAGUCUCGUAUGAAUCGGCACUAAUAUACAUAGGUUUACCUAAGUGUGUGAUGAGUGACUUCACAAACAGACUUAUUAUUAAAGGAUUUGAACAGUUCUCUAGCUCUUUAGGGUGUUUUAUUUCUUCACCAGCCAACAACAGUGUCAUAAUUACAAUGGGUUCGCAGAGUUAGUUUAUCUAGGCAUUUAGAUAUACCAUUCAAAAUCCUCUACUGAGAGCAAAAUGUUACUGUUUUAUUUUAUUUUUUAUUCUUUACAAUUUAAACUGAAAAUCCACAACCCUUUCAGUUGCUACACAUCAUCACACCGGAAUGCUAAAUCGCUUGGCCGUAAGUCUCAAUUGGUCCAGCCGGGGAUCAAACACAGGACCUUCAGAACAUUAAUUAUCAUUAACAUCUGAUAGUGGUAUAUUAACACCAUAACUACCAAUCCACAUUGGAGCAGACUAAAUUGAUUAUUAUGAACAGACCAUUAUGAUGAACCACUGAUAUUGACUCAGAGACAUGACGAUGAGUGCUUUGACAACAAGACUGACUAGCUGAGCCAGCUUAAGAAUUAUGUGGUGUGUGUGUGUGUCUAAUUCCAGGAGCUCUCUAUGUCAGCCAUCCAUCUAUAUUCUUACUCAUUUUUGUUAAUUAUAAAAUAAAUUUGAUUAUUUA